CAGUCAGCUGUCUCCACUGCAUUCUCUAGCAGCUUGUGUUGCUAACAACUGGUUGUCCAUCAUGGUUGGUCCCAGUGGUAGUGGCAAGAGUCAUGUGGUACAUACACUUUGUUACUCAGAAUAUUGAUGUUACAGGUUCUCCGCAGUCAGCUGUCUCCACUGCAUUCUCUAGCAGCUUGUGUUGUUAACAACUGGUUGUCCAUCAUGGUUGGUCCCAGUGGUAGUGGCAAGAGUCAUGUGGUACAUACACUUUGUUACUCAGAAUAUUGAUGUUACAGGUUCUCCGCAGUCAGCUGUCUCCACUGCAUUCUCUAGCAGCUUGUGUUGUUAACAACUGGUUGUCCAUCAUGGUUGGUCCCAGUGGUAGUGGCAAGAGUCAUGUGGUACAUACACUUUGUUACUCAGAAUAUUGAUGUUACAGGUUCUCCGCAGUCAGCUGUCUCCACUGCAUUCUCUAGCAGCUUGUGUUGUUAACAACUGGUUGUCCAUCAUGGUUGGUCCCAGUGGUAGUGGCAAGAGUCAUGUGGUACAUACACUUUGUUACUCAGAAUAUUGAUGUUACAGGUUCUCCGCAGUCAGCUGUCUCCACUGCAUUCUCUAGCAGCUUGUGUUGCUAACAACUGGUUGUCCAUCAUAGUUGGUCCCAGUGGUAGUGGCAAGAGUCAUAUGGUACAUACACUAGCACAGUUGUGUGGCAACAAACUCCAAACACUCACUGUCAACUCUGCCAUGGACACCACUGAGAUACUUGGUGGCUUUGAACAGGUACACAUAUAAUGAUUGCAAUAAUUGUUUGGAUGCUACUGGAAGAGUACUUCAGAAUGAAAGCCCUCAAGUAUUCAGCUAAAUAACAUAGAACAGCAAAAUGCUAAUCAAACCAAGUUACUACAGUGAUUUAAUUCAUUAUCUUAACAUAGACCUGCGUGUAAUUUUAUAAGCUGCAUAAUAAACAAUGGUUGAAAUAUAUAUAUAUAUAUAUAUAUAUAUAUUAAUUACUAGUUCAAAAAGUAAAAUAAAUUCAGUUGAAAAUAGUUCUAUAAUUUUAUUUUAUACUGUACUCAUAAUUAGUUGAGAUAUUGUUCACCUUCAAAGUGUCUCCUUUGUUUUUAAAGCUGUUUUCCACUUUGUAAGUGACUAUACGAUCUUUUGUAUAUCUAAAGCUAUGUGUACUGUAAUAUGUAAAAAUUAAAAUGUUAUAAAUUUCUAUUACACAAUUGUUAA